GAUGAACGCUAGCUACAGGCUUAACACAUGCAAGUCGAGGGGUAACGAGAGGAAAGCUUGCUUUCCUUGUCGACGACCGGCGCACGGGUGAGUAACGCGUAUCCAACCUGCCCCCAACUAGGGAAUAACCUUGCGAAAGUAAGACUAAUACCCUAUAAUUUCCUCAGAUGUCAUCUGACGAGGAAUAAAGAUUUAUCGGUUGUGGAUGGGGAUGCGUCUGAUUAGCCUGUUGGCGGGGUAACGGCCCACCAAGGCAACGAUCAGUAGGGGUUCUGAGAGGAAGGUCCCCCACAUUGGAACUGAGACACGGUACAAACUCCUACGGGAGGCAGCAGUGAGGAAUAUUGGUCAAUGGGCGGAAGCCUGAACCAGCCAAGUAGCGUGCAGGAUGACGGCCCUAUGGGUUGUAAACUGCUUUUAUACAGGAAUAAAGUUAGCCACGUGUGGUUAUUUGUAGGUACUGUAUGAAUAAGGACCGGCUAAUUCCGUGCCAGCAGCCGCCGUAA
rnacentral:rRNA from 1 species